rnacentral:rRNA from 1 species
AACGAACGCUGGCGGCAGGCUUAACACAUGCAAGUCGAACGCCCCGCAAGGGGAGUGGCAGACGGGUGAGUAACGCGUGGGAACGUGCCCUUCGCUUCGGAAUAGCCCCGGGAAACUGGGAGUAAUACCGAAUACGCCGUAUUGGGAAAGAUUUAUCGGCGAAGGAUCGGCCCGCGUUGGAUUAGCUAGUUGGCGGUGUAAUGGACCACCAAGGCUACGAUCCAUAGCUGGUCUGAGAGGAUGAUCAGCCACACUGGGACUGAGACACGGCCCAGACUCCUACGGGAGGCAGCAGUGGGGAAUCUUGGACAAUGGGCGCAAGCCUGAUCCAGCCAUGCCGCGUGAGUGAAGAAGGCCUUAGGGUUGUAAAACUCUUUCGCCGGAGAAGAUAAUGACGGUAUCCGGAGAAGAAGCCCCGGCUAACUUCGUGCCAGCCGCCGCGGUAAAAC